rnacentral:sRNA from 1 species
AGACGCCAGCAUCCACAAGCCCGAUAAAGCCCUGCAUUUAUCCACUGCUCCAUUUCUGAUUGUAUUUCAUAAUGUGUUGAUAUUUCUAGGCUAAUCUUGCACAACUAUUGAGAGAUUCUCAGGACCGAAAUAAACAUCUGGGAGAAGAAAUUAAAGAACUUCAGCAAAGGCUUGGAGAAGUCCAGGGCGACAACAAGCUCUUGAGGAUGACGAUUGCCAAACAAAGGCUCGGAGACGAAGAAAUCGGCGUGCGACACUUUGCAGCCCAUGAGCGUGAAGACUUGGUGCAGCAGCUAGAGCGAGCUAAGGAACAGAUUGAGUCUCUGGAGCAUGACCUGCAGGCUUCUGUGGACGAGCUUCAGGAUGUUAAAGAAGAACGGUCUUCCUACCAGGACAAAGUGGAGAGGCUCAACCAGGAGCUGAACCAUAUCCUGAGUGGGCACGAGAACCGCAUCAUUGACGUGGACGCCCUGUGUAUGGAGAACAGGUACCUUCAAGAGAGAUUAAAGCAACUCCAUGAAGAGGUCAACCUCUUGAAAUCAAACAUUGCCAAAUACAAG